rnacentral:rRNA from 1 species
UACAGAGGGUGCGAGCGUUAAUCGGAAUUACUGGGCGUAAAGCGUGCGCAGGCGGUUUUGUAAGCCAGAUGUGAAAUCCCCGGGCUUAACCUGGGAAUGGCAUUUGGGACUGCAAGGCUUGAGUGCGGCAGAGGAGACUGGAACUCCUGGUGUAGCAGUGAAAUGCGUAGAUAUCAGGAGGAAUACCGAUGGCGAAGGCAGGUCUCUGGGCUGACACUGACGCUCAUGCACGAAAGCGUGGGGAGCAAACAGG